GUGGGGAAUAUUCCGCAAUGGACGAAAGUCUGACGGAGCAACGCCGCGUGAGUGAUGAAGGUUUUCGGACUGUAAAGCUCUGUUGUUUAGGACGAAAGUGCCUGUUGCAAAUAGUUACAGGUAUUGACGGUACUGAACGAGGAAGCCACGGCUAACUACGUGCCAGCAGCCGCGGUAAUACGUAGGUGGCAAGCGUUGUCCGGAAUUAUUGGGCGUAAAGAGCAUGUAGGCGGGAAUCUAAGUCUGUUGUGAAAAUGCGGGGCUCAACCCCGUAUUGCGAUGGAAACUGGAUUUCGUGAGUGCAGGAGAGGAAAGGGGAAUUCCCAGUGUAGCGGUGAAAUGCGUAGAUAUUGGGAGGAACACCAGUGGCGAAGGCGCCUUUCUGGACUGUGUCUGACGCUGAGAUGCGAAAGCCAGGGUAGCGAACGGGAUUAGAAACCCGAGUAGUCC
rnacentral:rRNA from 1 species